GAGAAAAUGAAGUCAGCCUGGAGUGAUUCCUCAGCUUGAGGUAGAGGGAAAGAACCCUCCAGAAAUCUGGAGGGGAACUUGGGGAUCAUCAGAGAGUCAUAGAAUUUGAGAUGUAAGGAACCUUGGAGAACCUCAAGUCCAAUCUCAUAUUCCAAGUGAAGAGCUGGAAGCCCAGAAAUAUUGUGACUUGCUCAGGCUCACUGUUACCAACCCCCUGCAAUCUAUUCAUGGACUCCUUGGGAAUCUGUGGUCCCCAGAUAAAGAACCCCUGUUUGGGAGGAAUGGUUUGAAUGUCCCUAUUAUUGAAAUUAUUUCUAUUUUGUUUUUGUCCCAGUCCUGGUUUUUACACUUCUAUCUUAGGGGCUGACUCUCCCCCUUGUGACCUGUUUGCCAAUCAGGGGAAGCAGUUGCUGGGCAUCCUUCAGA
rnacentral:lncRNA from 1 species